GCGACCGGCGCACGGGUGAGUAACACGUAUCCAACCUUCCGUUUACUCAGGGAUAGCCUUUCGAAAGAAAGAUUAAUACCUGAUAGUAUGGUGAGAUUGCAUGAUAGCACCAUUAAAGAUUUAUUGGUAAACGAUGGGGAUGCGUUCCAUUAGGUAGUAGGCGGGGUAACGGCCCACCUAGCCGACGAUGGAUAGGGGUUCUGAGAGGAAGGUCCCCCACAUUGGAACUGAGACACGGUCCAAACUCCUACGGGAGGCAGCAGUGAGGAAUAUUGGUCAAUGGGCGAGAGCCUGAGCCAGCCAAGUAGCGUGAAGGAUGAAGGUCCUACGGAUUGUAAACUUCUUUUAUACGGGAAUAAAGUAUCCUACGUGUAGGAUUUUGUAUGUACCGUAUGAAUAAGCAUCGGCUAACUCCGUGCCAGCAGCCGCGGUAAUACGGAGGAUGCGAGCGUUAUCCGGAUUUAUUGGGUUUAAAGGGAGCGCAGACGGGAGAUUAAGUCAGUUGUGAAAGUUUGCGGUUCAACCGUAAAAUUGCAGUUGAUACUGGUUUCCUUGAGUGCAGUUGAGGCAGGCGGAAUUCGUGGUGUAGCGGUGAAAUGCUUAGAUAUCACGAAGAACCCCGAUUGCGAAGGCAGCUU
rnacentral:rRNA from 1 species